rnacentral:rRNA from 1 species
UACGUAGGGUGCGAGCGUUGUCCGGAAUUAUUGGGCGUAAAGAGCUUGUAGGCGGUUUGCGCGUCUGCUGUGAAAUUCCAGGGCUUAACCCUGGGCUUGCAGUGGGUACGGGCAGACUAGAGUGCGGUAGGGGAGACUGGAAUUCCUGGUGUAGCGGUGAAAUGCGCAGAUAUCAGGAGGAACACCGGUGGCGAAGGCGGGUCUCUGGGCCGUAACUGACGCUGAGGAGCGAAAGCGUGGGGAGCGAACAGG